rnacentral:rRNA from 1 species
AACGAACGCUGGCGGCAGGCUUAACACAUGCGAGUCGAGCGCCUCGCCAGAGGAGCGGCCGACGGGUGGGUACCGCGUGGGGAGGAACCCUUAUCUACGGAAUAGCUCUGGGAAACUGGAAGCAGUACCGAAGGGGCCAUUAGGGGGAAUGAUUUAUCGGAUAAGGAUCGGCCCGCGUUGGAUUAGCUAGUUGGUGGGGUAAAGGCCUACCAAGGCGACGAUCCAUAGCUGGUCUGAGAGGAUGAUCAGCCACAUUGGGACUGAGACACGGCCCAAACUCCUACGGGAGGCAGCAGUGGGGAAUAUUGGACAAUGGGCGCAAGCCUGAUCCAGCCAUGCCGCGUGAGUGAUGAAGGCCUUAGGGUUGUAAAGCUCUUUCACCGGAGAAGAUAAUGACGGUAUCCGGAGAAGAAGCCCCGGCUAACUUCGUG